rnacentral:rRNA from 1 species
UGGGGAAUAUUGGACAAUGGGCGCAAGCCUGAUCCAGCAAUGCCGCGUGUGUGAAGAAGGCCUUCGGGUUGUAAAGCACUUUUAUCAGGAGCGAAACGCUGUCGGCUAAUACCCGGCGGAACUGACGGUACCUGAGGAAUAAGCACCGGCUAACUUCGUGCCAGCAGCCGCGGUAAUACGAAGGGUGCAAGCGUUAAUCGGAAUUACUGGGCGUAAAGCGUGCGUAGGCGGUUUCUUAAGUCUGCUGUGAAAUCCCCGGGCUCAACCUGGGAAUGGCAGUGGAUACUGGGAGGCUAGAGUGUGUCAGAGGGUGGUGGAAUUCCCGGUGUAGCGGUGAAAUGCGUAGAGAUCGGGAGGAACAUCAGUGGCGAAGGCGGCCACCUGGGACAACACUGACGCUGAGGCACGAAAGCGUGGGGAGCAAACAGGAUUAGAUACCCUGGUAGUCCACGCCCUAAAGCGAUGCGAACUGGAUGUUGGUCUCAACUCGGAGAUCAGUGUCGAAGCUAACGCGUUAAGUUCGCCGCCUGGGGAGUACGGUCGCAAGACUGGAAACUCAAAUGAAUUGACGGGGUCAUAGCUGUUUCCUG